UACGGGGGGUGCGAGCGUUAAUCGGAAUAACUGGGCGUAAAGGGCACGCAGGCGGAGUUUUAAGUGUGGUGUGAAAUCCCCGGGCUUAACCUGGGAAUUGCAUUUCAUACUGGGAGUCUAGAGUACUUUAGGGAGGGGUAGAAUUCCUCGUGUAGCGGUGAAGUGCGUAGAGAUGUGGAGGAAUACCGAUGGCGAAGGCAGCCCCUUGGGAAUGUACUGACGCUCAGGUGCGAAAGCGUGGGGAGCAAACAGG
rnacentral:rRNA from 1 species